CCUACGGGAGGCAGCAGUGAGGAAUAUUGGUCAAUGGACGAGAGUCUGAACCAGCCAAGUAGCGUGAAGGAUGACUGCCCUAUGGGUUGUAAACUUCUUUUAUAUGGGAAUAAAAUGUUCCACGUGUGGGAUUUUGUAUGUACCAUAUGAAUAAGGAUCGGCUAACUCCGGGCCAGCAGCCGCGGUAAUACGGAGGAUCCGAGCGUUAUCCGGAUUUAUUGGGUUUAAAGGGAGCGUAGGUGGAUUGUUAAGUCAGUUGUGAAAGUUUGCGGCUCAACCGUAAAAUUGCAGUUGAAACUGGCAGUCUUGAGUGCAGUAGAGGUGGGCGGAAUUCGUGGUGUAGCGGUGAAAUGCUUAGAUAUCACGAAGAACUCCGAUUGCGAAGGCAGUUCACUGGACUGCAACUGACACUGAGGCUCGAAAGUGUGGGUAUCAAACAGGAUUAGAUACCCUUGUAGUC
rnacentral:rRNA from 1 species